GUGGGCGUAGCUCAGUUGGUAGAGCACCAGAUUGUGGCUCUGGUGGUCGCGGGUUCAAAUCCCGUCGUUCACC
rnacentral:tRNA from 1 species